rnacentral:tRNA from 1 species
GCAGAUGUAGCUCAAUUGGUCAGAGUGUCAGUCUUCCAAACUGAAAGUUGAGGGUUCAAACCCCUUCAUCUGCU